rnacentral:lncRNA from 1 species
CAUUAAAUAGCGGCAUUUGGUUUCAAAAUUAAAGUUUUAUUGCAGAUGACAAAAACGGACAGUAACUUGAAUCUAUUACAAAAUUAUAAUUUGUUAUACUCUUGUAGUUUCGGAGAACAUUUUACAGAGUACGGUUUAUCUGUUUGGAAUGCGAUGUACAAAUCGGCCAUUAGAUUUAUCAGAACCCUUCGAUAUCGUUAAAUAUGCCGAUGCGAUGUGACUACCAAAGCCAACCACCCUGCAAACACGCAAAACUAGUCUUGGAAAGUCUCAUUAUAUUUUGCGUCCAUAGACCACAUGAUAAUUUACGAGUAAUAUCUUUAAUUAAUAUUCUUUAAUAUUGUUAAAAGUAGUAUAACACUAUAAAACGUAGCAUAACACCAUAAAAAGUCUUUUUCUCGGGAUAUAUCAGUUUGUUUUGGGGACAUAAUGUUUUUCUUGUAUUUCUCGGGAAAUCGUGGUACCGGAAAAUGGUUUGGUUUUUCGGGUUUUGGCCAUAGGACGGUUAAUAUUGAGAAGCUACAUGUACAUAGGUACAUGAUAAUUUAUGGAACUGGAGUCGCGACUGCAUGAUAUCAGUCAGAAAAAUCACUGCUUUGCGCAUAUGUGCUUCCUCGUGUUGUAGGAAAUACAAAAAACGAACAAAUCGCAGCAUUGUUUGAAAC